CGCUGGCGGCGUGCUUAAUACAUGCAAGUCAACUUGACUUUAGAUAGCAAUAUCGAAAAGUAGGGUGGCGCACGGGUGCGUAACGCGUAGGUAAUCUGCCCUGAGGUCUGACAUAACCCGUCGAAAGGCGGGCUAACAUCAGAUGAUAUAUAGUCACGACAUCGUGGAAAUAUCAAAUCUUCGGAGCCUUGGGAUGAGCCUGCGUCUGAUUAGGUAGUUGGCGGAGUAAUAGCCCACCAAGCCUACGAUCAGUAGCUGGUCUGAGAGGAUGAUCAGCCACACUGGAACUGAGACACGGUCCAGACUCCUACGGGAGGCAGCAGUAAGGAAUAUUGCUCAAUGGGGGGAAACCCUGAAGCAGCAACGCCGCGUGAAGGAUGAAAUACUUUGUAUGUAAACUUCUGUAAGAUGGGAAAAAUAUUCUCCUCGGGAGUAUUGAUUGUACCAUCAGAGUAAGCCCCGGCUAACUACGUG
rnacentral:rRNA from 1 species